rnacentral:rRNA from 1 species
GAUGAACGCUGGCGGCGUGCCUAAUACAUGCAAGUAGAACGCUGAAGCUUGGUGCUUGCACCGAGCGGAAGAGUUGCGAACGGGUGAGUAACGCGUAGGUAACCUGCCUCUUAGCGGGGGAUAACUAUUGGAAACGAUAGCUAAUACCGCAUAAAAGUCGACAUUGCAUGAUGUUGACUUGAAAGGUGCAACUGCAUCACUAAGAGAUGGACCUGCGUUGUAUUAGCUAGUUGGUGAGGUAACGGCUCCCAAGGCGACGAUACAUAGCCGACCUGAGAGGGUGAUCGGCCACCUGGGACUGAGACACGGCCCAGACUCCUACGGGAGGCAGCAGUAGGGAAUCUUCGGCAAUGGACGGAAGUCUGACCGGCAACGCCGCGUGAGUGAAGAAGGUUUUCGGAUCGUAAAGCUCUGUUGUAAGAGAAGAACGAGUGUGAGAGUGGAAAGUUCACACCUGUGACGG